rnacentral:rRNA from 1 species
GACGAACGCUGGCGGCGUGCUUAACACAUGCAAGUCGAACGGUAAGGCCCUUCGGGGUACACGAGUGGCGAACGGGUGAGUAACACGUGGGUGAUCUGCCCUGCACUUCGGGAUAAGCCUGGGAAACUGGGUCUAAUACCGGAUAGGACCACUGCCUGCAUGGGUGGUGGUGGAAAGCUUUUGCGGUGUGGGAUGGGCCCGCGGCCUAUCAGCUUGUUGGUGGGGUGAUGGCCUACCAAGGCGACGACGGGUAGCCGGCCUGAGAGGGUGACCGGCCAAACUGGGACUGAGAUACGGCCCAGACUCCUACGGGAGGCAGGAGUGGGGGAUAUUGCACAAUGGGCGCAAGCCUGAUGCAGCGACACCGCGUGAGGGAUGACGGCCUUCGGGUUGUAAACCUCUUUCAGCACCGACGAAGCGCAAGUGACGGUGGGUGCAGAAGAAGGACCGGCCAACUACGUGCCAGCCGCCGCUGUAA